rfam:Dipodomys ordii contig_40016, whole genome shotgun sequence.
UGGCUCAGUGGUAGAGUGCUUGCCUUGCAUGCAUGAGGCCCUGGGUUCAAUUCCUUA